UACGAAGGGGGCUAGCGUUGCUCGGAAUGACUGGGCGUAAAGGGCGCGUAGGCGGUGGACACAGUCAGGCGUGAAAUUCCUGGGCUCAACCUGGGGGCUGCGUUUGAUACGUGUUUGCUAGAGUGGGGAAGAGGGUCGUGGAAUUCCCAGUGUAGAGGUGAAAUUCGUAGAUAUUGGGAAGAACACCGGUGGCGAAGGCGGCGACCUGGUCCUUGACUGACGCUGAGGCGCGAAAGCGUGGGGAGCAAACAGG
rnacentral:rRNA from 1 species